rnacentral:tRNA from 10 species
GCCCAUGUAGCUCAGUGGUAGAGCACUCCCUUGGUAAGGGAGAGGUCGCGCGUUCAAUCCGCGCCAUGGGCACCA